rnacentral:rRNA from 1 species
AGUCGAACGAUGAUUAUCUAGCUUGCUAGAUAUGAUUAGUGGCGGACGGGUGAGUAACAUUUAGGAAUCUGCCUAGUAGUGGGGGAUAGCUCGGGGAAACUCGAAUUAAUACCGCAUACGACCUACGGGUGAAAGGGGGCGCAAGCUCUUGCUAUUAGAUGAGCCUAAAUCAGAUUAGCUAGUUGGUGGGGUAAAGGCCCACCAAGGCGACGAUCUGUAACUGGUCUGAGAGGAUGAUCAGUCACACCGGAACUGAGACACGGUCCGGACUCCUACGGGAGGCAGCAGUGGGGAAUAUUGGACAAUGGGGGCAACCCUGAUCCAGCCAUGCCGCGUGUGUGAAGAAGGCCUUUUGGUUGUAAAGCACUUUAAGCAGGGAGGAGAGGCUAAUGGUUAAUACCCAUUAGAUUAGACGUUACCUGCAGAAUAAGCACCGGCUAACUCUGUGCCAGCAGCCGCGGUAAUACAGAGGGUGCGAGCGUUAAUCGGAAUUACUGGGCGUAAAGCGAGUGUAGGUGGCUCAUUAAGUCACAUGUGAAAUCCCCGGGCUUAACCUGGGAACUGCAUGUGAUACUGGUGGUGCUAGAAUAUGUGAGAGGGAAGUAGAAUUCCAGGUGUAGCGGUGAAAUGCGUAGAGAUCUGGAGGAAUACCGAUGGCGAAGGCAGCUUCCUGGCAUAAUAUUGACACUGAGAUUCGAAAGCGUGGGUAGCAAACAGGAUUAGAUACCCUGGUAGUCCACGCCGUAAACGAUGUCUACUAGCCGUUGGGGUCCUUGAGACUUUAGUGGCGCAGUUAACGCGAUAAGUAGACCGCCUGGGGAGUACGGCCGCAAGGUUAAAACUCAAAUGAAUUGACGGGGGCCCGCACAAGCGGUGGAGCAUGUGGUUUAAUUCGAUGCAACGCGAAGAACCUUACCUGGUCUUGACAUAGUGAGAAUCUCUCAGAGAUGAGAGAGUGCCUUCGGGAACUCACAUACAGGUGCUGCAUGGCUGUCGUCAGCUCGUGUCGUGAGAUGUUGGGUUAAGUCCCGCAACGAGCGCAACCCUUUUCCUUAUUUGCCAGCGGGUUAAGCCGGGAACUUUAAGGAUACUGCCAGUGACAAACUGGAGGAAGGCGGGGACGACGUCAAGUCAUCAUGGCCCUUACGACCAGGGCUACACACGUGCUACAAUGGUAGGUACAGAGGGUUGCUACACAGCGAUGUGAUGCUAAUCUCAAAAAGCCUAUCGUAGUCCGGAUUGGAGUCUGCAACUCGACUCCAUGAAGUCGGAAUCGCUAGUAAUCGCGGAUCAGAAUGCCGCGGUGAAUACGUUCCCGGGCCUUGUACACACCGCCCGUCACACCAUGGGAGUCUAUUGCACC